UCCAACGUAGCUCAGUGGUAGAGCUAUCGGCUGUUAACCGAUCGGUCGCAGGUUCGAAUCCUGCCGUUGGAG
rfam:Pontibacillus yanchengensis Y32 contig119, whole genome shotgun sequence.